GACGAACGCUGGCGGCGUGCUUAACACAUGCAAGUCGAACGGUGAACCUCUUCGGAGGGGCUCAGUGGCGAACGGGUGAGUAACACGUGGGCAACCUGCCCCCGGCUCUGGGAUAACUCCAAGAAAUUGGGGCUAAUACCGGACGUUCACCGCUUCCCGCAUGGGUGGUGGUGGAAAGGGUUUCCGGCUGGGGAUGGGCGCGCGGCCUAUCAGCCUGUUGGUGGGGUAGUGGCCUACCAAGGCGACGACGGGUAGCCGGCCUGAGAGGGUGACCGGCCACACUGGGACUGCGGGAGGGCCCAGAGUCGUACGGGGGGCAGCGGUGGGGAAUAUUGCGCAAUGGGCGGAAGCCUGACGCAGCGACGCCGCGUGGGGGAUGACGGCCUUCGGGUUGUAAACCUCUUUCAGCAGGGACGAAGCGCAAGUGACGGUACCUGCAGAAGAAGCACCGGCCAACUACGUG
rnacentral:rRNA from 1 species